GAUGAACGCUGGCGGCGUGCUUAACACAUGCAAGUCGAACGGAAAGGCCCAAGCUUGCUUGGGUACUCGAGUGGCGAACGGGUGAGUAACACGUGGGUGAUCUGCCCUGCACUUCGGGAUAAGCCUGGGAAACUGGGUCUAAUACCGGAUAGGACCACAUUUUGGAUGGUGUGGUGGAAAGUUUUUCGGUGUGGGAUGAGCUCGCGGCCUAUCAGCUUGUUGGUGGGGUAAUGGCCUACCAAGGCGUCGACGGGUAGCCGGCCUGAGAGGGUGUACGGCCACAUUGGGACUGAGCUACGGCCCAGACUCCUACGGGAGGCAGCAGUGGGGAAUAUUGCACAAUGGGCGCAAGCCUGAUGCAGCGACGCCGCGUGGGGGAUGACGGCCUUCGGGUUGUAAACUCCUUUCGCUAGGGACGAAGCGUUAUGUGACGGUACCUGGAGAAGAAGCACCGGCUAACUACGUG
rnacentral:rRNA from 1 species